rnacentral:antisense_RNA from 1 species
AGUACUCACUCAGCCUAGGCUUCCAGGCCCUGCUGGGCCCUCCUAUCCACUGAAGGAAAUGGGAGAUGAGUGGGCAAUGGAAAAGCCUUUGGAGUCAAAGGUAAAUCCAUGAGUUGACCACUUAUUGCUGUGAGACCCUGGACAGCCAGAUAUAGAGUUCUUGUUCUAGCACUGGCCCUAGGAAUCCCCAGAACUGGGCCUCUUACCCACACCACUGCCUGUAAUCCACAAACCUAUGAGCACAUGGUUAAAGCAUGAGAUGUGAAACCAGGAAGAACCAGGUCUGAAUCUUAGCUCCACCAGUGGUAGCUCCAAACCUUAGUCCUUUCUGAGCCUGCUUCUUCAACCCUAAGGGAACACUACACUUCCUUAAAAAUUAAGAGUGUGUGCUACACUGCUUUACUAGAGCAAGACCAAAAGCAGCUUCAAUUAUGGUACAACUGUGUGAAGACACAAUGCAAAACCACUCAAGAAUGCUCACUCAAAUGGAUCUUUUACGAUGGAAUUCGGAAACGGGACCCAGAAAGUUGUUUCCUGCAAGUGGCUGGAACAACACAAGCAAUAAGUAUCCUGAAACAGG